CGGCGGGCCCGCGGCCUCGGCCCUGGCAGCGGCAGGAUUUGGGAUAUUAAAUUCCCAUGGAAUUCCUGAGCUUUUAGGAUUUCCCUGGAAAAUCCCAAAUUUCCCAUGGUCCAGCCCUCACCUCCACAAUUCCCAGGUGCCCGGUAGG